AUUAAAGUGCCUGAAAAAGGAAUAUUUUGAUAGAAUAAAACAUGUAUAUAAAAUCACACAUAUACCUUUAAUA
rnacentral:tRNA from 1 species